rnacentral:tmRNA from 1 species
GGGGGCGAAACGGAUUCGACGGGGAUGUGUAAGCUCAUCGUUGCAUGCCGAGUUUCUAUCUACUCGUAAAACCGAUAGAACAUAAAUAUAAUCGCAGACGAUUAUAACUACGCAGUAGCAGCUUAAUAACUGUCAUACUGCCGUUCCACCAGUCUUCGCCCGUAAGGCUGGGUUUGGAGCGUCGACUCAACGGGCUGGUCAACCGAUAGCCGUCUGUCUUUCAGUUGAUAAGAUUUAACAGUCUAGCUUUUAGAAAUCUAUGUUCCGACUGAGUUCUAAAAGCGAAACCUAAAGCCGGAACUAAGCAUGUAGAUACGAGAGGGGAGCAUUUUCGGACGCGGGUUCGACUCCCGCCGCCUCCACCA